rnacentral:rRNA from 1 species
AGAAUCAACGCUGGCGGCGUGCCUAACACAUGCAAGUCGAACGAGAAAGUGGAGCAAUCCAUGAGUAAAGUGGCGCACGGGUGAGUAACACGUGACUAACCUACCCUUGAGUGGGGAAUAACCUAGGGAAACCUGGGCUAAUACCGCAUAACACCUACGGGUCAAAGGAGCAAUUCGCUUAAGGAGGGGGUCGCGGCAGAUUAGCUAGUUGGCGGGGUAAUGGCCCACCAAGGCAGUGAUCUGUAUCCGGCCUGAGAGGGCGCACGGACACACUGGAACUGAAACACGGUCCAGACUCCUACGGGAGGCAGCAGUGGGGAUUUUGCGCAAUGGGGGAAACCCUGACGCAGCAACGCCGCGUGGAGGAUGAAGUCCCUUGGGACGUAAACUCCUUUCGACCGGGAAGAUUAUGACGGUACCGGAAGAAGAAGCCCGGCUAACUUCGCGCCAGCAGCCGC